rnacentral:rRNA from 1 species
AGGGAAUUUUCCACAAUGGACGAAAGUCUGAUGGAGCAACGCCGCGUGCAGGAUGAAGGCCCUUGGGUUGUAAACUGCUUUUAUGUGCGAAGAUUAUGACAGUAACACAUGAAUAAGGGUCGGCUAACUACGUGCCAGCAGCCGCGGUAAUACGUAGGAUCCAAGCGUUAUCCGGAAUUACUGGGCGUAAAGAGUUGCGUAGGUGGCAUAGUAAGUAAGAAGUGAAAGCGUUCGGCUCAACCGAAUAUACAUUUCUUAAACUGCUAAGCUAGAGAACGAGAGAGGUAGAUGGAAUUCCCAGUGUAGGAGUGAAAUCCGUAGAUAUUGGGAGGAACACCGAUGGCGUAGGC